AGCAAUAAACACUUCUGCCUUCUCCUUUCUCUGAAGUCUUUGCUUUUGUUGUCAGUUGUUUGUCUCCGGGCAGAUUUCAAAACACUGUGAGAUGCACGAUCCUGCUUCCAGAGUACAUCUGUGUCAGCCCACGGUUGAUUUCUCGAUUAAUUUUACCCAAGUAACGUGUGGCAGGGCAGGCACUUAACAGCAUGAACUAACGGACAUUGCUGCUGAUUUAGUUGGGCUAAGAGUUGAAGUAUUUGUUGUUCAAAAGGGAGCCUUUUCACAAAUGUAUAACCUGAAACAACUGCACUUAGAUACCAGCAAAACACAGCAGCGUGAAGUGGUAGGGGUUUAACGGAAAGUAUAAAUCGAGGUGACUCAUAGUGAUUCUUCAUGGUCUGAUGAAGCCCUAUAUGGGUGAAAGCACUUGCCUGUUCAUUCAUGAAUAAAAGCUUUUAUACUUCUUUA